UUGCCAAGCUUGCUAGUGCC
rnacentral:miRNA from 1 species